rnacentral:rRNA from 1 species
UUGGGAAUCUUGGACAAAGGGGGAAACCCUGAUCCAGCCAUGCCGCGUGAGUGAUGAAGGCCUUCGGGUUGUAAAACUCUUUCGACGGGGACGAUAAUGACGGUACCCGUAGAAGAAGCUCCGGCUAACUUCGUGCCAGCAGCCGCGGUAAUACGAAGGGGGCUAGCGUUGUUCGGAAUUACUGGGCGUAAAGCGCGCGCAGGCGGUUUUCCAAGUCAGUGGUGAAAGCCCGGAGCUCAACUCCGGAACUGCCAUUGAAACUGUUGAACUUGAGGACGAGAGAGGUGAGUGGAAUUCCCAGUGUAGAGGUGAAAUUCGUAGAUAUUGGGAAGAACACCAGUGGCGAAGGCGGCUCACUGGCUCGUUUCUGACGCUCAGGCGCGAUAGCGUGGGGAUCAAACA